AUUGAACGCUGGCGGCAGGCCUAACACAUGCAAGUCGAACGAGUGGCGGACGGGUGAGUAAUGUCUGGGAAACUGCCUGAUGGAGGGGGAUAACUACUGGAAACGGUAGCUAAUACCGCAUACCAUCAGAUGUGCCCAGAUGGGAUUAGCUUGUUGGGGGGGUAACGGCUCACCAAGGCGACGAUCCCUAGCUGGUCUGAGAGGAUGACCAGCCACACUGGGACUGAGACACGGUCCAGACUCCUACGGGAGGCAGCAGUGGGGAAUAUUGCACAAUGGGCGAAAGCCUGAUGCAGCCAUGCCGCGUGUAUGAAGAAGGUCUUCGGGUUGUAAAGUACUGUCGGCGGUGAGGCGGUAACCGAAGAAGAAGCACCGGCUAACUCCGUGCCAGCAGCCGCGGUAAUUC
rnacentral:rRNA from 1 species